GUAGGUGAACCUGCGGAAGGAUCACUAAAGAGAACCUGCCCUUUGGGUAGACCUCCCACCCUUUGUUUAUUAUACUUUGUUGCUUUGGCGGGCCUGCCUCGCGGCUGCCGGCGUGAGCUGGCUCGCGCCCGCCAGAGGACCACAACUCUGUAUUAAAUGUCGUCUGAGUACUAUAAAAUAGUUAAAACUUUCAACAACGGAUCUCUUGGUUCUG
rnacentral:misc_RNA from 1 species